GGAAAAAAAUAGCUUAAUCCCGGGAUGGGAGCGGAGGAACCAUUUAUGGGGUGAAUCCUGUGCUUGUGUGCAGGUAGGGUUUUAACCUUUCGACCCGAACCCGUCAGCUAACUUCGUAAGCUAUAAAGAAAGGGAGG
rnacentral:sRNA from 2 species